AUCAAUAUUUGUGUACACAUGGCAAUUCCUAUUUCUUCCCAUACGAUUUGUAAAAGUAUUGUAGUAAUUGUUUAAAAAACAAGCAUACAUUACUUUUAAAACUAGUUUAAUUGUUCAAUCAAAAAGAAUAUUUAGUUAAGAUAUCAAAAUGAGUGAAGUAGAAAAUUUGAAGAAAAGAAUAAAAGAAUUAGAAGAACAAUUAUUAACCGCUAAUGAAUCAAAAAGACAAAAAAUUGUUGAAAUGAGCUCUGAAGUUGUUGAUUCUAAUCCAUAUAGUCGGUUAAUGGCACUAAAACGAAUGGGAAUUGUUGAUGAAUAUGAAGUAAGUAAAAUGAUAUAUAAAAUUAUGUUACAUUUUGUAUCAUUCUUCAACUUGUAAACUUAUUAAGCAAUAAUAUUUACAGAGCAAGUAUCUUGUAAUCAGUACAAUAUUGAAUGUAUUCUGACUUUAUUUAACCUCUAAAUACUUCCUUUCGCAGAAAAUUCGAAAUUAUACGGUUGCUGUAGUAGGAGUUGGGGGUGUUGGAAGUGUUACUGCGGAAAUGCUUACAAGAUGUGGAAUAGGAAAAGUAUAACAUUACAGCCGUUUAAUUAGUAAUUUUAAUUUUAAACAAAAGUAUUCUUUUCUUGUGUUUUCUUGAAAUAAAUUAGCUUAUUCUCUUUGAUUAUGACAAAGUGGAAUUAGCUAAUAUGAAUAGAUUAUUCUUUCAACCUCACCAAGCUGGUUUAUCUAAAGUAGAUGCUGCUGUGAAAACUUUACAGUCAAUCAACCCUGAUGUUACUUUUGAGGCUCAUAAUUACAAUAUAACAACUAUGGAUAACUUUGAUCAUUUUAUGUCAAGAAUAAAAUGUGGUAGCCUAGAAGGAAAGAACGUUGACCUCGUACUAAGCUGCGUCGAUAACUUUGAAGCAAGGAUGGCGAUUAAUACGGCAUGUAAUGAAUUAGGUCAAUUUUGGAUGGAAAGUGGUGUUAGUGAAAAUGCUGUUUCGGGUCAUAUCCAAUUUAUUAAACCUGGAGAAACUGCUUGUUUUGGCUGUUCCCCACCUCUUAUCGUAGCAACUAAAACAGACGAAAAGACUUUAAAACGUGAAGGUGUUUGCGCGGCCAGUUUACCAACGACCAUGGGAAUUGUGGCUGGGCUUCUUGUUCAAAAUACUCUUAAAUAUUUAUUAAAAUUUGGUGAAGUCUCAUAUUAUCUAGGCUAUGGAGCCUUGAAAGAUCAUUUUCCCACAAUGGUUUUAAAACCAAACCAAGAGUGCGAUGAUAGAUUUUGUAGGGAGCAGCAGGAAUUAUUCAAAAAAAGAGAAGCAAAUAAGCCUAAAGUCGUUGAAGUCGAGGUUAAAGAAGAGGUUAUAGUACACGAAGAUGAAUGGGGUAUUGAGUUAGUUAGCGAGUCGAAAGAUGAUGAAGAAAAACAGGAUGAUAAUUUAACCGAAGGCGUUCAAUUUGCUUAUUCCAUACCGAAGAGUAAUGAAGAAGAAAAAGCAUCAACAGUAGCUGAUAGUAAUUUUAGUUUGAAAGAUUUGCAAGAUCAAUUAAAAGCAAUGAAAUAAAGCAUUAAAAUAUCAAUAUAUUAAAAUAUACAUGCAUAUAAUAAUAUAUAUAUGAAUAUUCCAUAUUCUCUUUACUUUUUUCGGUAUAUCAACAUUGAAGAGUCAAAGAUAUGUAAAAAUCCAUAUUACGUAAUUUGAGGAGAAUACGUUUAACUUUUGCUUAGAGUUUCAAAAACUAACUGUAGUCUAUUUUAAGAAAUUUUCUAACACAUAAAAGGUUAAUACAUGUUUAAACGUAAACCAUUAAAAUAUACUGUAACAGUAGGUAGUUACUUCCACUUUAUAAAAAGAAUAUUUUCGUACUAUCUUCCUCGACACUAAGUUGUGAUCUUCAAUUUUUUCCAAGGUCAUAGCGAGUUUCUAGUUCAGAAGGCGAAGAGAAUAUUGAAAUAUUUCCACGUACCUUUAUAUACUUAAAAUCCUAUAGAAAGCGUUAAGCUUUUAGAGAUAAAACAAUAAACUGUGUCUGUGUUGUGGGAUAUAAAUUGUAUAUAGUGAAUGUAUAUUUAUAGAUAUGUAAAAAAAACAUUUCCUCCUUACUAUGUACACAUGUCUUUAAAUAAACAGUUCAAAUUCUGGUUUUGGUGC
rnacentral:misc_RNA from 1 species